rfam:Rhizoclosmatium globosum strain JEL800 BCR33scaffold_22, whole genome shotgun sequence.
GACUCCUUGGCGCAACGGUAGCGCGUUCGUCUCCAAAGCGAAAGGUUGCGUGUUCAAAUCACGUAGGGGUCA